rnacentral:rRNA from 1 species
CAGCCGCCGCGGUAAUACCAGCUUCUCGAGUGGUGGGGGCGAUUAUUGGGCCUAAAGCGUCCGUAGCCCGCUUGUUAAGUCCUCCGUUAAAUCCGGCGAUUCAAUCGCUGGACCGCGGAGGAUACUGGUAAGCUAGGGGGCGGAAGAGGCUGGCGGUAUUCUUAGGGUAGGGGCGAAAUCCUAUAAUCCUAGGAGGACCACCAGUGGCGAAGGCGGCCAGCUAGAACGCGCCCGACGGUGAGGGACGAAAGCUGGGGGAGCGAACCGGAUUAGACACCCGGGUAGUCCCAGCUGUAAACGAUGCGGGCCAGGUGUUGGGGCAGCUACGAGCUGCUCCAGUGCCGCAGAGAAGUUGUUAAGCCCGCCGCUUGGGAAGUACGGCCGCAAGGCUGAAACUUAAAGGAAUUGGCGGGGGAGCAC